rnacentral:rRNA from 1 species
UACGUAGGGCGCGAGCGUUGUUCGGAAUUACUGGGCGUAAAGGGCUCGUAGGCGGCCAACUCAGUCGGACGUGAAAUCCCUCGGCUUAACCGGGGAAUGGCGUCCGAUACUGGAUGGCUUGAGUUUGGGAGAGGGAUGCGGAAUUCCAGGUGUAGCGGUGAAAUGCGUAGAUAUCAGGAGGAACACCGAUGGCGAAGGCAGGUCUCUGGGCAUUAACUGACGCUGAGGAGCGAAAGCAUGGGGAGCGAACCGG